UUAAGUAAAAUCAAUGUGUCGCUUUUUGCAACACUUGGAAUUGGGUCGUCUUAACUUUAGGUUAAGAGGCCUGAAAUUGAUACUUUUUCGCAUCCUAGACGUGUAUAAAUUCAUUUAUCCGUUUUCGGUGAUGAUUUCUUUAUUAGGUAUGGUCGCGUAGUGUGAGGCUUCAUGCCUAUAAUUUUUCGUUGA
rnacentral:misc_RNA from 1 species